rnacentral:lncRNA from 1 species
AGUUUUCAAAAAUUUUAAAAAUUAAGUUCAAAAUUCGAUCCGUAAUACAACCUAAACCAAAAAUUCGAAAAUUUUGAAUUUCCAUUUUUCCGAACUAUGCCCACCUCGAUUAAGAAACUUUGUGGAAUUAAAUAGAAGAAACUAGGGAAGCUUUUGUAACUAAUCCAACUCCAAAAAGAAAAAAGAACAAUUUAAAUAUGUGGGGCUCUGAACAUUCAAGAUUUCCAACUUAAAUAAAAUUUCCAUAGAUGGCUCAAUCGUCCGGAUUCAAUUAUUUAAUCCUUUUCAAUUAGUUUAUGGAAGUGAUUCAGUUUCUAUUACUGCAAAGAUGUUUUCCUGAGCAGCUUAUGAAUUUUUCUUAUAAAGAUGGUGUCCAGGACGCAUCUACUACUUGGACUAGUCCACUGAAAUACCUGCUACCCACCAGUACACACCUAGUUAUUUAUUAUAACUUUUUCUUUUUUCCUUUUUCUAAUUUGGGUGUGGUUCAUGGGUUUAUGUUGAAUCUAAAUUAUGUCCACUUUUUUAAAUUAACUUUUAUUGUCUUUGUAGUCCGUGGAAGUAGUUAAAGAUGCUGGAUACGAGAAGAUGAACUGUGGUUUAGGACGCCAUGACCCUAAGGUUAGUCUUGACGUUCUCAUACCUUAUAUAUUUAGCUUGUUUUCUUGCUCUUAGAGUUGUUAUUUCAUUUAUGAAGUGAAUAAAUAGGAUUACAGUCAACAAAAACGAGGACAACUACUUGUAACUGUUCCAAAUUUUUCUGUUUGUUACUAGUUUUCUUUUUGUUAUCAGUUACUUGAGCUCAAUUUGAAGUGCAUGAGAUCACAAUGUGAAAUUUGCUUCUGCAUUCUGAGUAUUAAAAUUUGCUUCAUUGUUUGUGCAAUUAUAUUUCAUUAAUAGAUUCAGUGAAUCAGAAAAAUGGAAGUUCAUUUCAAAUAUGUUUGAUAAAGAUUAGAACUAUUUGACAACAUUAACCUCUGUAUUACAUUUCUCACUGAACAGUAAACAUCCAUCUUUUCUUUGAUUGUUUGAUUAUUAUCAAUUUCUUAAUCCCUGAUCAAUCCAAUAACCUAAGAGAUUUCUCUUUUAGUUUUUUAAUUGUAUUCUUAGAUAUUCCCAUUAUUCAACCUAUUGGAUUUGGAGCCUUCAUUUUAAUGAUCAAGCUGGUGCUAUUCAAUGUAAAAAACGAUUUCCCAAGCUAAUCUGGAUGAUUUUAGCUUGUGUCUACAUUGGUCAAUUUAACUAAAAAAGAGACCCUCCUUUAAAUUUAAAAGAAGAGACCUUCCUUUAAAUCUUAUUUAGAGCUUGGUAUAAGGCCCUUCAGAGUACUCAAUGUCAAUGCUAUGCGCAGAUGCCAUCUAAGAGAAGUAUUUUGGUUAUUUUACACCUACCGAGCUGAAAGAGAAGUGUUGCAGUAAAAGAUAUAUAGUUAACUUUGUAUUAAGGAAAAUAAUGAAAAGGGUCUCUUUUACUCAUCAAGCAGAAAAAUAUCAUAAUGAUACAAACUAUUGAAACAGAAAAAUGGAGAAUACAUCACUGAUGUUCAGCUAAAAACAUUAAAAACUCGUCUACUUUAUUUAUUUGUUUCAGAGCAUGCUAUCAGCUCGAGCUGGCAAUCUUCGGAAGAAAUUGAUUGGUGGUGAAGGCAUUUUGCUCCUGAAUCUUGGGUGCCUUAGGUAAACGAGACUUGCAACUAGAGCUAUGAUUUUGAAAGGUGUCACAUACAGUAUCACUGCUGU